rnacentral:lncRNA from 1 species
UCACUCUAAAAACUCUUCAUUCUCCUCGUUCUAAAAGAUCAACAAGCUAGUACUCCAUUUGUAACAUAAAACUCACUCUACAAAACUCCCAAUUCACCUCACUCUAAAAAACUCUCCAUUCUCCUCGUUCUAAAGAUCAACAAGUACUCCAUUUGUAACAUAAAACUCAUUUUAAAAGACUCUUCAUUCUCCUCACUCUAAAAUAUCAACAAGCUAGGACUACAUUUGUAAUAUAAAACUCAUUUUAAAGAACUUCUCAUUCACCUCACUCUAAAAAACUCUCCAUUCUCCUCACUCUAAAAGAUCAACAAGCUAGUACUCCAUGUGUAACAUAAACUCAUUCUAAAAAAACUCCCCAUUCACCUCACUUUAAAAAACUCUCCAUUCUCCUUAUUCUAAAAGAUCAACAAGUAUUCCAUUUGUAACACAAAACUCAUUCUAAAA